GGGGGAUGAAUUAGCCCGGUAUAUAACGAAGUUGAAAUAAACUGUUGCCCGCUGGCUAAACUAAGAAAUUAUCCACGCGGGCCAUAAUAUGAGAGGUAGAGGAAGGGAUUGCCUCUAUAAAAUGACCAUGAGCACGUAUGACCUAGACCCGUACGAGUUAGUCAGCAAAGUGUAAGGUUGGUACCCUAGUAUAUAAUAAAGUCGA
rnacentral:lncRNA from 1 species